rnacentral:rRNA from 1 species
AACGAACGCUGGCGGCAGGCUUAACACAUGCAAGUCGAACGCCCCGCCAGGGGAGUGGCUGACGGGUGAGUAACGCGUGGGAACAUACUCUUUCCUGCGGAAUAGCCCCGGGAAACUGGAAUUACUACCGCAUACGCCCUACGGGGGAAAGAUUUAUCGGGGAAGGAUUGGCUCGCGUUGGAUUAGCUAGUUGGUGGGGUCAAGGCCUACCAAGGCGACGAUCCAUAGCUGGUCUGAGAGAAUGAUCAGCCACAUUGGGACUGAGACACGGCCCAGACUCCUACGGGAGGCAGCAGUGGGGAAUAUUGGACAGUGGGCGCAAGCCUGAUCCAGCCAGGCCGCGUGAGUGAUGAAGGCCUUAGGGUUGUAAAGCUCUUUCACCGAUGAAGAUAAUGACGGUAGUCGGAGAAGAAGCCCCGGCUAACUUCGUG